GGUGGCAUAACCUGUAUGGGAUUCAGGACGAGAUUCAUAUCCUCGACAAUGUCAGUUCGAAUCUGACUGCCACUAC
rnacentral:tRNA from 1 species